rnacentral:rRNA from 1 species
UACGUAGGGCGCAAGCGUUGUCCGGAAUCAUUGGGCGUAAAGAGCUCGUAGGUGGUCUGUUACGUCUGCUGUGAAAUCCCGGGGCUCAACCCCGGGCCUGCAGUGGAUACGGGCUGGCUAGAGGCAGGCAGGGGAGAACGGAAUUCCUGGUGUAGCGGUGAAAUGCGCAGAUAUUAGGAGGAACACCGGUGGCGAAGGCGCCGCUCUGGGCCGAAACUGACGCUGAGGAGCGAAAGCAUGGGUAGCAAACAGG